rnacentral:rRNA from 1 species
AUUGAACGCUGGCGGCAUGCCUUACACAUGCAAGUCGAACGGCAGGCACGGGAGCAAUCCUGGUGGCGAGUGGCGAACGGGUGAGUAAUAUAUCGGAACGUGCCCGGUCGUGGGGGAUAACGUAGCGAAAGCUACGCUAAUACCGCAUACGAUCUACGGAUGAAANCGGGGGAUCGCAAGACCUCGCGCGAUUGGAGCGGCCGAUAUCAGAUUAGGUAGUUGGUGAGGUAAAGGCUCACCAAGCCGACGAUCUGUAGCUGGUCUGAGAGGACGACCAGCCACACUGGGACUGAGACACGGCCCAGACUCCUACGGGAGGCAGCAGUGGGGAAUUUUGGACAAUGGGCGCAAGCCUGAUCCAGCAAUGCCGCGUGCAGGAUGAAGGCCUUCGGGUUGUAAACUGCUUUUGUACGGAACGAAACGGUGAGCUCUAAUACCAGUUUGCUAAUGACGGUACCGUAAGAAUAAGCACCGGCUAACUACGUG